UACGAAGGGUGCAAGCGUUAUUCGGAAUGAUUGGGCGUAAAGGGUGUGUAGACGGCAUUUUAAGUCAACUGUUUAAUUCUCCGGCCUAACCGGAGGUCAGCGGUAGAAACUGAUAUGCUAGAGGGUGGAAGAGAGAAGUGGAAUUCUCGGAGUAGCGGUAAAAUGCGUAGAUCUCGAGAGGAACACCAAUGGCGAAGGCAGCUUCCUGGUCCAAUCCUGACGUUGAAACACGAAAGCGUGGGGAGCAAACAGC
rnacentral:rRNA from 1 species